rnacentral:misc_RNA from 1 species
CCUACGGGCGGCAGCAGUGGGGAAUAUUGGACAAUGGGCGCAAGCCUGAUCCAGCCAUGCCGCGUGAGUGACGAAGGUCUUCGGAUUGUAAAACUCUUUUGGCGGGGACGAUAAUGACGGUACCCGCAGAAUAAGCCCCGGCUAACUUCGUGCCAGCAGCCGCGGUAAUACGAAGGGGGCUAGCGUUGUUCGGAAUCACUGGGCGUAAAGCGCACGUAGGCGGAUGUGCCAGUCAGGGGUGAAAUCCCGGAGCUCAACUCCGGAACUGCCUCUGAUACAGCACGUCUUGAGUUCGAGAGAGGUGGGUGGAAUUCCUAGUGUAGAGGUGAAAUUCGUAGAUAUUAGGAAGAACACCGGUGGCGAAGGCGGCCCACUGGCUCGAUACUGACGCUGAGGUGCGAAAGCGUGGGGAGCAAACAGGAUUAAAUACCCUGGUAGUC